AGAAAUUUUACUCCUGACAGCAGAUGCAACGGAAACAAUCAAACAACGCUACUGAUAAAAAGCGCUUGGUUUUGCAAUAUUUCAUCAGUCCUUCAAAAGAAAUAACAUGAACAAUUCAGCACUUCUACUUUUGCUUCUCAUCGGACUUCUCGUCCUCACUGAAACUACUACUGCUUGGUGGCUUCGUCGUCGUCGUCGUCGUCGUAAUAUCGCUUAUAAUCAAGAAGAAAUGCGAGAAAUGAAUGAAAAUUUAGACAUGAAUUUAAUCAAAUGGAUGACUGACGAA